CCGUAAAAGAUAAGGAAAAAGAAAGUUUUCAAAUUCAAAACUCCCUACAUUACCGUAUUUCGGAGUAAAAAUAAAUCGACCAUGAAAGUGCUCCUCAAAGACUUUACGUUGCUCAUCAUAAGCAAGAAGUCUUAUCAAAUCUAGAGGGUUAGACUCCAAAGAUUAAGUUCCUUGGUUUCUUUGAGUCACAUUUUUGCGUUGCUUCUUUGAUCUAGAAGAGGAAGCCAUGGAUUGAGGUUUUUGAGUUUUUAGGUUUUUGGGUUUUCGGGAUUUGGGGGUUUUUGAUUUAAGUCACUAAACACGAA
rnacentral:lncRNA from 1 species